rnacentral:rRNA from 1 species
GAUGAACGCUGGCGGCGUGCCUAAUACAUGCAAGUCGAGCGAACAGACGAGGAGCUUGCUCCUCUGACGUUAGCGGCGGACGGGUGAGUAACACGUGGAUAACCUACCUAUAAGACUGGGAUAACUUCGGGAAACCGGAGCUAAUACCGGAUAAUAUAUUGAACCGCAUGGUUCAAUAGUGAAAGACGGUUUUGCUGUCACUUAUAGAUGGAUCCGCGCCGCAUUAGCUAGUUGGUAAGGUAACGGCUUACCAAGGCAACGAUGCGUAGCCGACCUGAGAGGGUGAUAGGCCACACUGGAACUGAGAAACGGUCCAGACUCCUACGGGAGGCAGCAGUAGGGAAUCUUCCGCGAUGGGCGAAAGCUUGACGGAGCAACGCCGCGUGAGUGAUGAAGGUCUUCGGAUCGUAAAACUCUGUUAUUAGGGAAGAACAAAUGUGUAAGUAACUAUGCACGUCUUGACGGUACCUAAUCAGAAAGCCACGGCUAACUACGUG